rnacentral:rRNA from 1 species
UACGAAGGGGGCGAGCGUUGUUCGGAUUUACUGGGCGUAAAGGGCGCGUAGGCGGCGUGACAAGUCACUUGUGAAAUCUCCGGGCUUAACCCGGAACUGCCAAGUGAUACUGUCGUGCUAGAGUGCGGAAGGGGCAAUCGGAAUUCUCGGUGUAGCGGUGAAAUGCGUAGAUAUCGAGAGGAACACCUGAGGUGAAGACGGGUUGCUGGGCCGACACUGACGCUGAGUGCGCGAAAGCCAGGGGAGCAAACGGG